UUGCAGCCCCUCACGAGCUGCCCUCCAUUCCCAGGGCUGUGGGGCAGAGCCUAGUUGGAGGAUCUAAGUGUGGAAGUUCACGUUCCGAUCCACUGACUGCGGAUGGAAGCCGACUGCACCUUGCGUUUGCAGAGAAGUCCAUCAAACAGUGAGUGGAAUAAUGGACACUCAAUCAGAUCUGUGUAGUUUAAUUGAUAUACAUGUUUUUAGUAACUGAAUUUGACAAGACAGGAAAAUAUAUACAGUGGAGAUAUACACACACACAACAGAUGUGAUUCCCACUUUUGUACAUUAGGCUGCAUUCCAGCCAUGCACUUCUAUGCACACACACAUUUCCAUCAGGCAAACAAUAAAUAUCAUUACAGUUCGGGGAAGCACUGUGUGCCAAGCAUUCAAGGAAGCAGGACAGAGGCAGUGAGUGGGGUGGGGAGAGGGGCAUAGCCUAGGGAGAGUUCCAGGGACCAGACAGGAAGGUCUGGAAGGCUCCACACAGCCCCCACCCCUGAUAUAAAGCUAUCACUGUGCAUUAUAUAUAAAAAAUACUUACUCAGAGGUGUGCUAAUAUAUGCACAGGAGAUGCCCUGUUUUGCUCUGGUUUGGAGUAAUAAUUUCAACACUAUUCAAGAAAUCUGAUGAAGUAUAAUUUGACCAUAUCACAGCACACAUUAGGAAGAAGGGAGAAGAAAAGUAAGUUCUUCACAACAUGACUGCUAGAUGUUAUUUUGGGAGGAAUUUGGCACUACAUGAUAAGCCUCUCUGAAAAGAUGAAUACAACUCCAGGAAGCAUGACAGCAUAAGAAAGCCAAUGAGGACAACCCCACUAUUAGUGCUUCAGGAAUAAAACACAGAUUAAUGUCACUAAAGCACAUGUCACAAGAGAUAAUGAUGAUGUGUACAAAUGAAGCUCCUCAACAUGAGCCAAAAACGUAAGCACCACAGAAAACAGGAUAAUAAUUAUACACAAUUCACAAAUGACACAGCCAUCUGCUAAGUGUGCAUUGCACUCUCACAGUAUCAAAGGGUUUGUUCUACUUCUUCCCCAUAAAACUUGCUUAAAAGUUUCCUCUUUCUAUUCAAGUGGCAUAAAUUAUAAAGCAGCGUAGCAAGCACUUUGCAUCGCCUAAACAAGAAAUGUGCUGGUCGGCUCCAAAGGCUCUGUCUCUGAAUAGUGCUUCGUCAAACUAGUCAUUAUGCUAAGAUGAAGAGGCAGAUGAUCACUGGAGAUGGAAAAAACCAGAAAACACAUUUUUUGCGCUCUUAAAUCAAAAUUCUAAAGGGAAGUAUAAUUCCAGAAACAGACGCAGCCUUCCCCACAUACCUUGCAAGAAGCACUUAUUAAGAACGCAUCCAUCUUCAUUAAAAAACAAUAAUAAUGACAAACUCCAUUCAAUAACUAGAAGCAUUCAAAUCUGAGGAGUUACUUCUGACAUUACAUUAUGACGUGCCUUAGAAUCAUGCUUUUAAACACCUACUUAAAUCCUCUUGGAGAGGAUGUCUGGAAUUUUGGGGGUACACUUGUAUUGAUUAGUGUUAACACACUCUACAUGGGGCUGCCUUAUAACUUCAUUUGGACAUUUCAGUUACAGGAAUAGUACAUAGUACAGAUUCACUUUUGUACCCACUGCAUUAGCUGCCUAGUUACUUCCAAGCUCAAUUCAAAGUGCUGAUUUUGACCUGUAACACCUUUAUAUAAUCCCUCCCAAGAACUGAGAUCUUCCACAGAAGCCCUUCUUACUACUGCUUCAGGAAGGUAUUCAUUAGGUGACACUGUCCAAGUAGACCUCUGCCUCUAGAACUCCUUCCCCCAGGAGAUUCAGCUGCCUCUUUCUUUUCUGGCAGUUAGAUAGGCAGCUAAAGCUUUAUUUUUUAAUAAAAUAGCCUGGCACUGCAAGUUUUGCUGUUUACUAUUGAUUGUUUAUAUGGUUAUUUGUUUGCUACUGCUCAUUUAAUUUUACUAUUCUUAGUGAACGCUGUUCUGAUCUUCAUAGAGAAGUAGAGUAAGAUAUAAAUAAUUUUAAAUAAAACAAAAAAGCAUUCUGUUACAGGACCCUGCUUGUUGUAUACACUGAAUUUGCAAAGGCUGUGCAUAUAUAUACUCAUAAGGCUCCAGCCCAUGCUGCUUCACAUUCCCUUUCCACAGCAGCACAGCACAUUAUUAUACUAUGCGCUGGAAAAAAAUGUGCUUCAUAUAUCUCCUUUUUGUGCUUCCAGUGUAUUCUUGUGUGAAGUAAGGACAUGUGCAUCUCCAAGAAUAAGCUUCAAAAGUGCACACCCUUCAGUGCUUCCUGCCAUGCACAAAGCAUUGUAAAUUGGGUGUUGGAUAAGCAAGUCUUAUGGUUCUGGUGCUUUAUUCAUAACACUUGCAGGUUCCAAAUAAUGGUGACCUUUGUGCAACUCGGGCAGAGGUCAUUUCCACUACAACAGCUGUCUUCAUAAAACACAAUUCACCACAGAUUGUUGUAAUGGCCAGAACAACCCAUUGAAAGAAUAUGUCACCUGGGAAGGCAGAGGAUACAAGACAUCUGUAGCUGGCAAGGUACAAAGAAAAGUUUCAUUUCUGAUCUUUGGCACAGCAAUUAUUCUCUUCUUGGAAAUAGAUUUUGACACUAUGUGUGUUACCUUCCUUCCAUCUUUAUUCUAUAUAACUGGUGCUUGAUGCAGAUUUUUUUUAAAAAAAUCCACUCUGGAUCUUUGUCAUGUGAUGAUUUUAAUGUGUAUCUGAAGUCAUUAUAUUGUGGAAUGCUUGGGUUUUCCUUUCGAAACCGAAAAUAAAGUCUCCUUGUCAUGCAAAUAUAUAUAGGCUCCCCCCCCCAUAACAAUAACAAAAACCACAAUCACAGACAGAACAUGGUGUUUUGUUGACUCCUGGUCAUGAUCUCAAACAAUUACAUUAUAUUGGGCUGAACUACUUUUGCUGAACUCAGACUACAUUAGAUUCAACUUUUAUAGCUUUAAUGAUCAGAUUUCAAUAACAUACAAUUGCAUUAAACCAACAGGAUUAUAGUUACCCAAGUUAUUUUCAAUUGCUUCCUUAUGCCUAGGUGCGACGUAGAUAAUUUUCCAGUCUAGCACCGUCUCUGAGUUAAUUAUAUAUGUAUUGAUCAAGAAGUUCAUUUACUUUUCUUAGAUAAGAAACUACAUAAUCCCAAACCUUUGAGUUCAGCACAUUACGAACUUUGCUCUCAGAACUGAAUACUAUUAUGUGCAUUUGUGUGUAUUACUUUACUAUGUUUUCAGAAGAUCCUUUUUCAGGUUAAAAUGAAAAUCAAAUGUUGGUAUUUUGCCAAAGUUGUUUUCAAGCACCACCCCAUUAGCUGGGAGGCCCCCCACAUUUAUCCUAUUAGUUUGCUCUGGAUUGCUUCUUUUCCCUACAGAACUACAAAUAAACCUUUUUAGUUUUCCAUGGUGGUAGCUUUCAAAUGUGCAAGUGUCUGGCACUUCAUUCCCAUUAGUCCAACACUUUGAAAUUAAACUAUUAAAUUUCAAUAGCAAUGGUGUACAUUUACUGAACCAUUUCCCUCUUGAUCCUUGAAAAUCUUGGCUCCAAAUUACAACUCAAACCACAUUCUCAGUUCUUAACUAGUAACCAAACCAAACCAGUCAGUCUAGCUACUCUAAGUACUCUUUCAAACUCUUCAAAUACUACUUUCCUCUCCAAGCAAUUACUGCCAGCCAGUUAACAAAUCCCUUUGCUUUCAGAAGUACUUCACUAAGACAGGAAUCUACUUCAAAAUUUCAUAAAUAGAAAGGUUGAGUUAACCAUCAAGAAUAUUCAAACAACUGCAAAAUUACAGCUGCACUAUUAGAACAUUAUGGUAAAUGGUUCAUUUCUUCUGUCGGUGCCUAUAGUAACCCUGAGCUAAUUGACUGCGGGAUGCAGAUGACGAUUAACAGCAAUUAGUGUUGGGCUUUCAGCAUUUCUGGGCUGUUGCUGUUUUCAAACUGCUGUUUGUAAUAUGUUAUUUGAAUGCAUUCUUCUGUAUGUUCUUCCCUGCAUGUUGCAAUCCUCAGCUGAUGUUUUGUUCUAGAUCCCUCAACUCCAAGAAUCACAUCUGGUGGUGAACAGGGCUAGGACAUUUUAUUUUGUGGCUUCUGUGUGUGGAAUGCCUUGCCAAGUGAGGUGUUCUGAUAGCUGUUUUGGAUUUUGGCUUUCAUGAUCUGAAGGGAGAUCAUGAUAUUGUGGGCGGUGGGGCAAACCCCAUAACUCUUGAAUUUAGGAAAAGUAAGAAUUAAUCAAAGUUUUAUUAAAUUGUGCCAAAAGUUGAAAACUCCCUGGAUUUAGCUAUGCCAACAACCCAGGCCAACUUGGCACAACCACUAAGAUGAGCCAUUAGCAGAGGACAAAGGCCAUUUCGGAGGCCUAAUCUGGCCUGCCAGUCGGUUCAAUCUGGCCCCUGUGGCAGUUUAUUUCCUAAGGUAAAAUCCUUUAAAAAACCUCAAUAACUUUGGUCGGCCCCCAUGGCCCUUCACUUCAUCAAAUCUGGCCCUCUUUGAAAAAAGUUUGGACACAACUGGUUUAAGCUUUCAGCUUUGGUGAUAUAGGCCAGGGAUGUCCAACAGGUCAAUCGUGAUCUACUGGUCGAUCCCUGGGAGGGUUUGGUAGAUCGCGGUCGAUCGCUGGCUCCUCCCCCUAGCCCCUCCUCACUACAGCAGAAGACGGAGCUCUCGUUGCGAGGCUGACUGUUUCAUUAGCAACCUCUUGUGAGUGACUUUUUAAAUUUAUUCCUUUGCCCUGAUUCUCUGAAAAAGUACCUGAACCCCCUCUAAAAUCCUCCCUAAAAAAAGCUCAACAACCUUGACCUGAAACCCCCCCCCCCCAAUGGGUAGAUCACUACCAGUUUAUAAUUGUGUGCAUAGAUUGCAGUCUCUUCUAAGUUGGCAGUCCCUGAUAUAGGCUGAAGGAAUAUUGUGGCAUCUUGCAAGAGGUUUGAAAAACUGGGGAGAAGUGGACCUGGCAGAAGUUCUGGUGGGCUAGCUGGGGUAAACUGGAAAAGAGACACAGAGUUUGCUGUUUGGCAACCUUUGAAUCCAAUGCUGUGCUUCUGUAGGAGAGAAGACCCUCUUGAGAUAUGAGUCCCAACUGUAGACUCAAGGUUGCAUAUACAAUGGUACCUUGGGUUACAUAUGCUUCAAGUUACAUAUGCUUCAGGUUACAGACUCCGCUAACCCAGAAAUAUUACCUCGGGUUAAGAACUUUGCUUCAGGAUGAGAACAGAAAUCGUGCAGUGGCGGUGCAGCAGCAGCAGGAGGCCCCAUUAGCUAAAGUGGUGCUUCAGGUUAAGAACAGUUUCAGGUUAAGAACAGACCUCCAGAAUAAAUUAAGUUCUUAACCCGAGGUACAACUGUAUGUGUAAAUAAAACCAUAUAUCAUGAAGACACCAUAGUCUCCACUGUGCCUCACUUCCAGAGAAAACACAAAUCCUGGUUAAGCACCAAGAACCCCCUGAAAUCUUUCGCCACUCGGAGAUUGGGGUGGCCUGUAACAAUAUAUUUUGUUACUUUUGUUGUGUUUGGGGUUGAAAGUCACACUGAUUUUUUCUGAAAAUUGGAUGGAAAUAGAAAUUUUAAAAAGAAAUAAAUUGAUGAUAAGCAUAAUGUUCUGCUCUUUCAAGAAAGAUGACUAUUUAAAGUAUUUUAGUUCAUGUGUUAAUAGAAUCACUCAAUAUCAUCGUGUGAUUUUAAAAUAAAUCAUUCUAAACAUGCAGAGAAAGAGAAUGCUACUAAGAAUUUUGAAUUCUCUGACCCAAUAUAAUUGGUGUGUGCACAUGUGCACUGGCCUAUACAUACUUGUCCUUAAAAAAGAGGUCUGAUCUGUGUAGUUGUUUCUUCCAUAGGCAAAGAUGUUGGGCAAGAUGUUUGUUACCUUUGGCGAAAUUACUGGAAAAUAGGUCAGGUAUGACAAUUGCAGGCAGUCAUUGUUGCUGAAGGCAGGAAAGGGGCUGUGGAAGCAGAGAUUCAACUCUUCCAGGCAUGGACAAAUUGAAGCUUUGGCAGCUGCUAUGUAUUCAGAGCCCAAAAUCCUUUCCAAAGGCUACAGAAAAUAAGUCUUGUUACUGUAGUGGGAUCCAUCUGGGUUGAUUUCUCUAAGCCAUUUCCAAUAUUUAAAUUAAGGGAAGCAUUUCAUGUGUACCUAAUCGCUUCUCCCACAGCCGUUCCCCCCGGUUCCUUUUUUAACUGCACAUACAAAUAUUGUGCAUAUAUAUAUAUAUAUCGUUUGUUUUAGAAAUGACCACAAACAGUCCUUCAUGAUGCAACUACAACGUGGUUGGCUUAAGAAAUGCUUAGUUUUUCACUGACUGCCAUUAGAAUGUUACACAACCUGCUACGAAUAAAAUGUUUAGCAAGCACUUGAGGUGAAUGCUAUUCCCAAUGCAUUGUGGUCUCAAAAUAUAUUAGCAUUAUUUGGCUGUGCCCCUUUGUAAUCAUAUGUUUUAAACUGUUCUGAAAAGCAUUGUUGUUUUGCAUUUUAGCUUAAUUCCUGAAUACAUCUUCCUUAACAUUUUCCCUUGCUACUAUCCAGCUUUCAACACUUCUAAAAGUGGCAGGGCAGGGCGAUACGCAGGCCUGAGAAGACUGGGAUCUGCUGCCACUACAGAUUACAAUCUCAAAGUUAUACAGGGAGAAUUUUCAUUGUAGCCUGCUGGUGAAAACUGCUCCCUUUUGUAGUUACAGUAACUCUUCCCUGCACGUUCUCUCCUUCUGCAUUUUCAACUAUUUUAAGUAUUGUCAUGAAGUGGUCAGAGCUCCUGUUAUCCUUUUCCUAAAAUUGAGGAAACCCUCUUCCCAAAGCAUCUACAAGGGCAAAGAAUCUCACAUUUUUGGGCUGCAGAAGAGAGACCCCCUCUUCCAACCAUCUCGUCCUCUGGCGUCCCCUUCUUGUGCCCUCCAUCUUUCCCAGCAUCAGGGUCUUUUCCAGGGAGUCUUCUCUUCUCAUGAGGUGGCCAAAGUAUUGAAGCCUCAGCUUCAGGAUCUGGAAGGGCUGAUUUCCUUCAGAAUGGAGAGGUUUGAUCUUUUUGCAGUCCAUGGGACUCUCAAGAGUCUCCUCCAGCACCAUAAUUCAAAAGCAUCAAUUGUUCGGCGAUCAGCCUUCUUUAUGGUCCAGCUCUCGCUUCCAUACAUCACUACUGGGAAAACCAUAGCUUUUACUAUACGGACCUUUGUUGGCAAGGUGAUGUCUCUACUUUUAAAGAUGCUGUCUAGGUUUGUCAUUGCUUUUCUCCCAAGAAGCAGGUGUCUUUUAAUUUCGUGACUGCUGUCACCAUCUGCAGUGAUCAUGGAGCCCAAGAAAGUAAAAUCUCUCAUUGCCUUCAUUUCUUCCCCUUCUAUUUGUCAGGAGGUGAUGGGACCAGUUGCCAUGAUCUUCGUUUUUUUGAUGUUGAGCUUCAGACCAUAUUUUGUGCUCUCCUCUUUCACCCUCAUUAAAAGGUUCUUUAAUUACUCCUCACUUUCUGUUACAGCAGGGCUUUGCACGUCCUGAAACCCCUUCCUAUCCACCUGCCAAAUUUGGCCCUCAAUGGAGCCCAAAAGCUGCUGCCUGAAUGCCAGAGGAAGAGGCAAAGCAGAGGUCCAGCCAUCAGAUCUAUAUUCUGAUUAUAUUCUUAACUAAUUUGUAGUGGAUAUAGCAGUAGCCUCUUCUCACCCUGCUCUGACUUCUCACAAUAAUUUUCAGUGACAGAGUGUACAAAAAUCAACUGCUAUGGACAUAGUACUACAUAGUCUUCAGAAACGUAAGUUCAAAACCCUUGAAAUAAGAAACAGAUUAUGACAUUAAUGACAAUUUGUGUGGUUGUCAUUACAACAUUGAACAUAAAUUAAGAAAAAAAUGUUGGGGAAACAUCAUGUUCAGUAUAAAUGAUUUGAUUAAUUAUUAAGCUACUAAAUCACCCUUGUUACAUUUCAAAGGAACUAGCAUUCCUAUCAGCAAAUUAAUUCCCAUGCCCAAUUUUUGCCACUGGAUACUUAGAAGAAUGACAUAUUUUUCUUAGCUGCCUUAUUUAUGUGGUCUCUUGUCCUCUUUCUGUUUUGGUGUGAAAGCAUUAAGAGCUCUCUAGAAAAUACAACAUUUUUAGUACAGCCAGCUGGCUGCAUAUUAGACUUUCAAAAUGUUGUCUUCAUUUCCGCAACAAUUUCUUCCAUACCAUCAAACUCUGAGUCAAAUUUAAUUUCACGCAAUGUGCCCUGCCAAUUUCUCAAUACAAAAGCACAUAUAGGAAGAAAUCCAUUAAAAAGCAAUUUGGAAUAUUCAGAGAGGAAAUCUAAGAUAUUCAAAAAAGGAGGGGAAAAACCCCAAUCUAUUUAAGCUUAACAAUUUAGUGCAUGUAAUAUAAUUUGUGUGAAUUAAUCUAGCAUCUAAGCACAGUGGAUAUAAUGAAGUAGUCCAGGUAUAAUAUUUGCAACAGAUAAAAAUGAAAGUUUUGUACCUUGUAGAACCAGUGGUUUAAUGUACACCUUCAGAUUACUUAAUAAAGGUUAUUGAGUUUUCCACGUCAUCAAAGGAGGAUAGUGAGGAAUACAAAAGGCUUCACACAGUGCUGAUAUAUCUAAUUGACCUGUGUGUGUUUUAUACUGAACGUCCAGAAAAUCAGGAAAUAGCCAGAAAAAUAACAUCAGCCUUCAUCAACAGCCCUCCAGCUGUUCUGGACUACCGCUCCCAUCAGAUACAGCCAGCACAACCAGGUGGACUGAAGCUGAUGGCAACUUUAGUCCACAACAUCUAGAGGGUACCAGGUUAGUAAAGGUUGAAUUAGAUAAACAAUCCUUCCAAAAGCACUAGUUUGCAUGGUAUUACGGGCCAUGUUCUAAAACUAUAUCUUGGCAAACCUUUGCCAGUUUAUACAAACUGCCCUAAAGGACCAGGCGCACAGCUUAGGAGCCAUUUUGGACUCACAGCUGUCCAUGGAGGCACAGGUCAAUUCUGUGUCCAGGGCAGCUGUCUACCAGCUCCAUCUGGCACACCAGCUGAGACCCUACCUGCCUAGUUUCGUCAAAAUGGAACAUGCCCUGGUUAUUUCUGGUUAUAUCUACAUGGGGCUACCUUUGAAGGUGACUUAGAAACUACAACAAAUCCAGAAUGUGGCAGCUAGAUUGGUUUCUGGGAGUGGCCGCCGGAACCAUAUAACACUAAUCCUAAAAGAUCUACAUUGGCUUCCAGUAUUUGAAGUGUUGGUGCUGAACUUUACAGUCCUAAACAGCCUCGGCCCUGUAUACCUGAAGAAGCGUGCCUACUCCCAUCAUUCAGCCCAGACACUGAGAUCUAGCUCUAGAAGUAAAGUUACAAGGAACCAGGCUGAGGGCCUUCUCAGUAGUGGUGCCCACCUUGUAGAAUGUCCCUCAUCAGAUAUCAAACAGAUAUUCCCUAUACAGGGCUGCCUUCAAAUGUCUUCUAAAAGUCAUAUAGUUAUUUAUGACUUUUAGAAGACAUUUGAAGGCAGCCCUGUAUAGGGAAGUUUUUUAUGUUUUAUAGUGUUUUUAUAAUUUGCUGGAAGCCGCUCAGAGUGGCUGGUAUAACCCAGUCAGAUAGGCGGUGUACAAAUAAUAAAAUUGUUGCUGCUGAUAGGAAUGAAUGAAUCUAUUCCUCAUCUUUAUCAAUUCCAUAUUCGGUUUCCACAUUCAUCUUUCAUUUCAAAACAAUCCUCUCAAAAUAGUAAGGUAACGGUAAAGGGACCCCUGACCAUUAGGUCCAGUCGUGGCCGACUCUGGGGUCGCGGCACUCAUCUCGCUUUAUUGGCCGAGGGAGCCGGUGUACAGCUUCCAGGUCAUGUGGCCAGCAGGACUACACCGCUUCUGGCGAACCAGAGCAGCACACGGAAACGCCGUUUACCUUCCCGCUGGAGCGGUACCUAUUUAUCUACUUGCACUUUGACGUGCUUUUGAACUGCUAGGUUGGCAAAAGCAGGGACCGAGCAACGGGAGCUCACCCCGUUGCGGGGAUUUGAACCGCCGACCUUCUGAUCGGCAAGUCCUAGGCUCUGUGGUUUAACCCACAGCGGCACCCGCGUCCCCUCAAAAUAGUAGUUAAAUGCAUAUUUUAUCUCAAAAUACACUUCUAUAUUCUAAUUUUGAUGAAUUUAAACUACCAAGAAGGGUAUCAUGGCAUCUGGUAAAGUCAGACUGAGAGGUGAAAAUCAGGCCAUUUUCAUAUAGGAAAUUAAAAUUUUCAUAUAGGAUUUUUAAAAAAUAGACAACUGAAGCUAUGUCCAAUAAUCAAGGCAUUUUCACACAGCAGAAAGCAGAACUACAAACAGACGGCAAUUCUGCCCCCUUUAUACCACAGGGAUGGCUCUUCUGUCACUCACUUCUCACUCCCUAGGCUAGGGCAUGAACCCACGCAGGAUCAACCUGAAUGGAUCUCAUUAGUCAUUUAACCUGAAAGUACUGUUUAAAAAAAGUUAGAACUGGUUAUGAGGCACUUUAUCACACAAAUGGUUUCCUAGAUUUUCAACAGAAUUUCAAAUCUGUCCUGGGAAGCUGAGAACAGAAGGUACUGCUGAGGCAUCAAAGAUCCUUUAAAACCCAUUCAUUCUAAUGCUAAAGCAGCAGAGAAACCCAGCAGACCUUAUUCCAUUAGAAGCUGAGGAGGACAAAAAGAAAGCAUACUCCCCAAAGCCUCGUCUGGGAUAUGUGCAGCUGCCCUUAAUGUUUCUUUGAAAUUCCUUUGUUUCAGAGGGAGAUCAGGAGAUCAUGCCCUUUGUACCUCAGUCAGAAAUAUCAGCUACGGCUGGAACAGAAGGAGCAAAUUAAGUUUUGACUCAGCAUUCCUGCUAAAAAUCAAGCACAAAGAUGUUAGAAUCCGGACAUUGGCCUGCAGACCCGGACGGGGCCAAGCUCCUCACUUUAACCAGUACAGGGAAUAAGAUAUGCUCUGUGGCAUGGCUGCCUAGCUUAAAACCUGGUACCUUCCAGAGGUUUUUAGAUUACAACUCCCAUCAGGCGGAAGGCGUCAGGAUGGAGAAGGCUGACAGAUCUUGCGAAACGUGUACUUCUACACUUGACAUCAAAAUAAUUCUGCUUGUUCCUGCACCAUUUAGGGGAUGGAACAUGUGAUGCAAACAAAAAAAAUAGGCAUUUGAGACCUCCUUUGUGCAUAUACUUCUACGGCUGAAGAACAGCAAAGCUGAAAUAAGGCUCAGGGGCCUGAAGCUUUAAGAAUGCAAGCAGUCACACAAAACAUUCAUUUGGGGCAGUAGUAGAAGAAGAGGAGGAGGAGUUGGGAUUUGAUAUCCCGCUUUAUCACUCCCCUUCAGGAGUCUCAAAGCGGCUAACAUUCUCCUUUCCCUUCCUCCCCCACAACAAACACUCUGUGAGGUGAGUGGGGCUGAGAGACUUCAGAGAAGUGUGACUAGCCCAAGGUCACCCAGCAGCUGCAUGUGGAGGAGCGGGGAAGCGAACCCGGUGCACCAUAUUACGAGUCUACCGCUCUUAACCACUACACCCCACUGGUUCCCAAGUAGUAGCUGUCUGGAUUAAACAGGGCCUGUAAACUUAAAGCUCAUUUCAUUAGUAAGAAGCCAGGCUGCAUGUAUAUUUCUAUGGCUGCGUUCAGACAGAAGAUUUACUAUCUUAGUUUUACCUCUCAUAAUGCCAAUGCUUCUGUUUCAAUUUCUAAUAUUUGUUUUACACUGCAGCAUCCGAUGUGCUAUGGAACUGUGGCUUUUUGAUCAAUAUACUGCCAUGUUGAGCUACAUUUUAAAUGAAUAGGAAAUAACCGUAUGCCAGGACACUGCCCCAAAUUCUGUCACAUGAGUGGCACCCCCACCAACCUAUUUUUUCAGUUAAUGGGGUUUAAAGUUUUCUGAACAGCUACUAGGUAGGGGCUGUGACUGGAGAGGCAACCAGCUGACUCACGCGUAUUUUGGCACCUGUGUGAGCCAGCCAGCAAGCCGGCUGAAAUACCUCUCAAUUUUCUGUUGAAAGAUGUUGGAAGGUAUAUCUAUAUGGGAUGCUGCUUGAGUUCCCCUUAACUUUAUGUUGGUAUAGGUUUCAGUGAAUGUACUGAUACUUCUUCACUUUUGUUAUAACAGCUCAUAAAGGCAGCUUCCAACAGGGAGAGCUGACCCCAGAGUUAGCUCCCAGAUAAACCUCAUAUAUAAAUACAGUCAACUGUCUUUCAAGCUUCAGUUCUGCUGAAUGAAUGUCCAAAUCCCCGCCCCACUUGUAAAAGAAACAGGAGCGAAACAUUGAUUUCGGACUUAAGGAAUUACUGAGUCGAGUCAUGGAUCUUCUACAGCUACGAGAGCUAUAAAUUCUAGCACAAUUUUUACUGCGAAAAAAUUAAUAAGAAGGCUUUUAUAUUUCUUUCACAGCAACUUGUUCUUGUGUAUGUUAAUAAAACUGGUUUCUUGAUUAAGUGCUCCAAUCACAGGGAAUUCCUGCAGCCCACAGUGGUCUUGUUCAAUUUAUUAAGAGUGUGUAAUUUGGUGAGAACAGAAAACUAGUAGAGAUGUAAUGUGAUCCACAUGCUCUACCCCAAAUAUUUUUUCUACCUAAAACAAAGCCCACUGGUGCUGGCUGCACCCCCCAUCUCAACGGCAGGACUAAAAGGUAAAGGGUAAAGGGACCCCUGACCAUUAGGUCCAGUCGUGGCUGACUCUGGGGUUGUGGCGCUCAUCUCGCUUUAUUGGCUGAGGGAGCUGGCGUACAGCUUCCGGGUCAUGUGGCCAGCAUGACUAAGCCGCUUCUGGCAAACCAGAGCAGCGCACGGAAACACCGUUUACCUUCCCGCCGGAGUGGUACCUAUUUAUCUACUUGCACUUUGACGUGCUUUAUAACUGCUAGGCUGGCAGGAGCAGGGACCGAACAACGGGAGCUCACCCCGUUGCGGGGAUUCGAACCGCUGACCUUCUGAUCGGCAAGUCCUAGGCUCAGUGGUUUAACCCACAGCACCACCCGCAUCCCUAACGGCAGGACUAGCCCAGGCUAAUUCAGGCACCAGUAGCAUCCUGAGCUCACCGCAGCCCAGCCCUCUCUGUUUUCUGCUGCUUCUCAGUCAAAAUUUACAUUGUAAGCUGCUUGGGAACUGGGAACUGUCUUUUUUUCCCUACUUAUGAAAUGCUGCCUAGCCCCAUAUAAACGCAUGGUACUGACAGUGUAUUCCAUUAUAUAUUAAUAAAUACAGAAGGUGUGCAUUGAAAUGGUGAACACUUUCCUUUCAAAAUAAGGAUCAAGAACAUCCUAUACCCACAUCAAACUAGAAGUAUGCUAGUCUGAUGGUAUGGUAAAAAUGUAAGGCUUUUGAUGCUUCAUAAGUGGUUUUUAUUGCUGCCUUGAAAUGAAGAGCAGGUGGCCGAACUUCAUUUUCUGACCCUCGUGGCUGCUUUGUUGAUUAUCGGUGUGUUUCAAAGCUUUGUUCUUUUCAAUUGUUAGAAUCUCAGAAAAAAAUAUAUUGCAAGUUUUCUUCUAGUUUUCACAGAGAACUGCUGACUGCCCACCUGUGUAAUAUCAUCCCAGGAAAUAUGGAUGUUUGUGAAGAAGUUGACCCUGUUUCACACAGGAUUGAAGUAAUUGUUAUCAUGCUGUUCUGGUGGCAACACUGGCUCGAAUACGGUUUGCUGAGCAGAGAUUUAUAUUCCUCAAGCGCUCACAAUGGGAAGAUUAAAUAAAUCCAUGUAAAUAAAAUCUAUUUCAGAAAUUAUCACUUACAGCACUAGAAAUGACUGGAUGUCAACUUUACUCUUUGAAAUUCUGAAAAUGCUAUGAUAGCACUUUAUUAUAAAAAGAGAUCACUUUCCUUCAUAUGCUAACUCACCACCAUGUUUUGGUCAAAGAAAAUGAUGUUUCACUUGACAUUCAUAUUAGGUUAUUGCACUCUAAAAUGUUAAUUAAUUUCUAGAUGAUGGCCUCAUGCAUAAAAAUGUAUUGGCAAGAGUAAAUUACUUUUUGAAAGAAAAGAAAUCAACAAUAAACUGCAUUAGACUGGGUAAUCAAUGUUUAUUGAAUUUUGUGCUGGAGGCCAGUUUCUCUGUCAACAAAGGUCCUUCAAACACAGAUUUUCACUUCAGCUUUAAUGAACAAGGGUGGAAUCAUGAAUUGAAAUAAAAUGCAGAAAUAAUAAACUAUUACUUUCCUUUUCAAGUCCUACUUGAAAGCAAACUGAAAAUACAGCAAAAUAGUAUAUACGAAACACAGAUUUAUUAAAAACAUUUCUGUGUAUACUGCUUUAUAAGCAAAUGCUUUAUUUUCCUGGCAAAGAAAGCAUGAAAUAAUAAUAAAAUCUAACUGAGCUAGAUAACAGUGGUUUUUUAAAUAAAAAAAAACCAUUUAGAAUUACGUUGUAAUUAUCAUUUAGUUAUUCACCAAAACUCAACAUAGUUAGUUCAGACCAGAAUUCUCAGAAUGCUCUUAGAUCCAUCUCAUGUUAUUUUUCCUGUAAUCUGAUUAACAACGCAGUAAUCUGAGUCUGAGUUACUUUAAAGUUAAUUUAUAUUUUCUGCAUUUAUGUGGUUGGGGGCGGGGAGGACAUAUUCUCAAAUUUACAGUAACACAAGGUGGUCUGAGGACUCUGCUGAAUUUGAGGCACUUCCAAAAAUGUAAGGAGCCCUUCUGUUUACAGAACUGAUAUUCUGGAUCCAACCCACUAAACCUGACCUGCAGUGCUAUUAUUCGAGAAAAAAGAGGUGCUGGAACUCACCAUGAACUCACUCAUUGUCUUAGAAUGACAAUGGUGCCCACCUGAGAGGUGCCGGAACUGAGUUUCUGUGAGUUUCCCAGAAAAAACCCCUGACUAUACAUCUGCAACAGUAUCAUACUACUUUAAACAGUAAUUGCUUGUCAUAUAGAAUCCAGGGGACUGUAGUCUGUUAAGAGUUGUUAAAAAGGUAAAGGGACCCCUGACCAUUAGGUCCAGUCAUGACCGACUCUGGGGUUGUGGCGCUCAUCUCGCUUUACUGGCCGAGGGAGCCGACGUACAGCUUCCAGGUCAUGUGGCCAGCAUGACUAAGCUGCUACUGGCGAACCAGAGCAGCGCACAGAAACGCCGUUUACCUUCCUGCUGGAGCGGUACCUAUUUAUCUACUUGCACUUUGACGCGCUUUCGAACUGCUAGGUUGGCAGGAGCUGGGACUGAGCAACGGGAGCUCACCCCGUCACGGGGAUUCGAACCGCCGACCUUCUGAUUAGCAAGUCCUAGGCUCUGUGGUUUGUUAGAGUUGUUAGGAGACCCCUAUUGCCCUCACAGAGCCAAUUCUCAGAGUAGUUUAAUAGUCAAUACCUUUCCCCAGGGAAAUCUGGGAAUUGUAGCUCUGUUGCAUGAACCUGCUUUUAAUGUAUAAUGCAAAUGGGGCCUGAGUUCUCAGUGAAGCCCUGCCCAUCUGUCAAAUGUGGCCUGCAGAGAGGGUUGGUCACUAUUUGAUCUGGCCCUAUGGCCAAAACUUUGUCCCUACCUCUUUCUUGGUAUUGAAGCGAAAAUAAUUGUUCAUUUGAUCAGAUGCACAUUUAUUAAAUUCCACCCUUAUUUUAUCUGCCAUGUAUUCACAUAAUAUAGUAAUAACAUGUGACCUGAUCUUGGACAAAUCAACUAUUGUUUUGCCUCAGUGUCCACUUACCGUGAAAUGAGUUCAAUGGCCACUAAAGGAUAUAAAUGCAAUACAUUUCAUAUUGUUCUAUUAUGCUACUUGUGAACCAACCUGAGAGGGCGUUUUGCCUGUAAAGGCAAUACAAUAAUACCUAAAUAUAUAAGCGUGUAUUUUAAAUAUACAUUACAAUACCUAGGUGGUGUGUAGCUUGUCCCACCACUUUUGUAUUGUGGAGAUAUCUGCUUCCAUGCAUUUUUAAUAGAAUAGAUGUCGGUGUCUCCUAACUCCCAUUUUCAAUUUUACAAUUCCUUCCUACAUAUUUUCUGCCAGGUUUGUGAUUAAGUAGGAGGCUUAAACAUCCUCAAACCUUACUCCAUUCCUUUGGGACCAGAGAAAACGCACUUUUGGUAGGUAAAUUCCAGCAGGAUAGUUUUAUAUUAAAGAAAAACACUAUAUUGUGGUAUAAACUUUACAGAUGAGAAACAACUUCCAACAGGUGCAAUACUAGCUACUAAUGAAACAGAAUGAAAUAUUCCCUGCAGUCUGAGAAGAACAUUUCAAUAUAGUGUAAGGCAAGAUUUAUCAUUAGUGUUACCCUCUGAAAUAACCUAGAUUCUUUCAUUAGGCAAGAUGUAUGUAUUUUAACAAUAAGGUUUUCACUGCAUCUGGAGAGACAAUUAAGAAACUAGUCACAGGUUAUAUAGCCUGUGAAUAAAGUGCUGAAUUUGCAAAUCUUAGUUUGAAUUUCACAUUCUGCACAGCUUCUCUGUAAAUCGAACUACUCCCCCAACUUUAAGUCAAGGCAUUCCCAGCUGCCCCAGGUUAGGGUUGCCAUAUUUCAAAAAGUGUUUGUGCCUUUCCAUGUCAGUGGGCUAUCAUCUACUUGACUGAGUUCAACAUAACUAAGGUAUGAUAAAAUAAAACUUCAGUGAUGCCAACAACUCACACAUCUUUAAGACAUGCUAUAUGAUACAUGAUAUAAACAAUAAAAGCAAAGCAUCGCCCAGUGCAGGUAUUUAUUUGCUGGAAUGCAAUCUUGAACAGUAGAAAAAUUAAAAAUGAUGGCACGUAAAAAGUAUACUGCAAACAGACCCCCUACCAGGGCCGUCUUAAGCAUAUCCGGCGCCAUGGUGCAAAGAUCCCUCCAGCACCCCCACCUCCCCAUUUCCCAGAGUUGUUGACCUUUUCCCAAGCCUCUGCGGGGAUUGCUCUCCUCCCACGGAGGCUUGGGAAGGAAGCUGCACGCCUGCAAGCCAUAUGGCUGGCAGGGCGCAGCUGGCGGGCGUGCAGGGAAGGGGAUGGCCUGGCUGUGAAGGGCGCUGCUGCUCCUGAAGGGACAGGAAACGCUGUGGAGGGUAUGAGGGCACCCACGCGAGAAUAACAGUUACAGGCACACACAAAAACACACACCAAGUUUAGAAUAUUACACCGGGCAACAAUCUUUUACUUUCUGAAUGUUGUCUAGAUUUCUACAACCGAUUUAGGGUAUUUUUGCACUGCUGAAUCAGGAAAUGGCAUCCGUUUCUCUCCAUCAGGUCAGGUUUUCUGUAAACUGAAUGGUGGGCAUUGAUAAAGGUAAGUACACGUAAAUUGCAUGUUGCUUCACCAUUUUUCAAACUUCAGGGCUUGAACUUCUGUUUCUUGGAACUCCUGGAAUGCUUAGCGGCAGGGAGGUCUCUCUUCAGAGUCCCACAGUAGUCAGCCAUCAUGACUGUGUCCCAGCGACCCUGAUACCUGGUCUCCAUCUCUUUCAUGUCCUGAUGGAAUCUCUCCCCCUGCUCGUCACUCAUUGAACCCAGGUUCUCAGGAAACUGGUCCAUAUGUGAAAAUAGGUAGUGCAUCUUGACGCUCAUGUUGCAGCCCAGGUUUCUGAAAGCAGUCAGCAUGUUGUUGACAAGUUCUGCGGAGUUUCUGGCCUUAUUGUUGCCAAGAAAGUUCUUCACUACCAGAACAAAUGCCUUCCACGCUUCCAGUUCCACUUCGUUCAUUGACUUUCCGAACUCUGGAUCUCUGAUGAGCUGAUGGAUCUGAGGACCGUCAAAGAUGGCAGCUUUCAACUUCUCCAUGGUCAAUCCUGGAAAAGCCUGGCACAAGUAAAUGAAGCAGUCACCAUCCUUGUCCAGAGCCUUGGUGAACUGCUUGAUUAAGCCGAGCUUGAUGUGCAGCGGGGGGAAGAGUAUUCUGUCUCUGUCCACCAGAGGGUUGUUGAUGACGUUCCUUUCUUUGCAAGGCACCAAUUCCUCCCGCACAGGCCAGUCCUUCUUCGUGUAAUGCUGAGCACGGUCCCUACUAUCCCACAUGCACAGAGAACAUGGGUACUUGGUGAAGCCAGCCUGUUGUCCCAACAAAAAGUUCACCAUCUUCAGGUCAACACAAAUAAACCACUUAUGCUGAUCAUAACCAAUUUUCUCCAGCACAUACUUCACCGCUUCAUAGUUCUCCUUCAGUGUACUCGAGUGAGCCAGGGGUAUAGAGGCAAACUGGUUGCCGUUGUGUAGCAGAACACAUUUCAGUGAUCGCUUGCUGCUGUCAAUGAACAGUCUCCAAUCUUUGGGUUCAUACUGUGGCACUCCAAGCUUGAGCAGAAGCUGCGCAAUAUCUGCACAGUACACCAAGUCCUUCUCUUAAAAACGGAGGUACUCUUGAUGCCUGUUGCGCAAGAAGCUGAUGCAAGCACUGUCAGAGAGGAGGUUUUUUUCCUUCAAUCUGGAUGCCAACAGUUCGGCAGAGUCCUUUGACAAGCUGAGGUCGCGAACUAGAUCAUUCAACUCCUUUUGGGAAAAUGGAUGUGGAGCAUCAUCUUCAAGAACCACUUCUUCUUCUUCAUGUCCUUCAACACUGGAGCCAUCUUCGUCACUAAUGUCAGGAAGUUCUCCGAAGAUAGGCACUGGAAUUUCAUCAUAAUGAGCUACAGGACGACAUGCUGAUUGAAGAUCAGGAUACUUCGUGGGGCGGCUGCCCCAUUAACUUAGUUUUGAUCCCCCAACUUUAUGCUUUGCUGGACCAAUUUAUGGAAGAUUUUGAGGUUUUAUGACUUCAAACUGAUCCCUUUUUGACAUAAUCACCCAGAACUAUCGGACCUGAAUACUUCUUGUCAUUAAAAUAAUCAUUUCCAAUCAAAACAAUUAUUUGACAAGGCAUUUUACCCCCACCAACUUCUUCUAAAAUGCUCCACACAAGCGUACAUGUGAACAAAAAUGUAAAAAAGACAUGUGGCCAUAGCUCAAAAACUUGACCUGAUUGAGCAAAACCAAUGUGAUUUUUGGAUUCAGCGCAUCAGAUUCAUCCUAAAUCAGCUGAAAAAACGCAGACAACAAAUUUGUUGUUGACCAGUGUUAUAGUCGUUUGGGUGCAGCUUCCAUCCAAGGCCUCUGCAGGGAUCGCUCUGUUCCCAUCGAGGCUUGGGAGGCAAGCUGCACACCCAUGGUUGGUGGGGCAAAGCUGGCAGGCGAGCAGGGAAAGGGGAGGCCGCUGGCAAAGCUACGCAGCUCCCCCACUUGCUGGGGCGCCCCUGAGAGGCCGGCGCCCUGGCGCAAUGCACCACUAAGCCCAAUGGGAAAGACGGCUCUGCCCCCUACAAUAUCACAAGCUGCAUAUCACAGCAAUAAGCAAAAAGUCUUAUCUGGUUGCUUUCUCAGCCCUCCAUUAUUAUUUUUUUUGAUACCAUGCUCAGAGUGCACAGUUAUUACACACCCCAGCUAUAGCCCAAAUACAACUUUAAUGCAAUUCAUUUUAAUGAGCCACACACAUAUUCAUGGAAUCAAAAAGAUUAUACUACGGAAAGAACAACUGGGUCAGCUAAACCCACAGGGCCCAGUGCAAAUUUUAAAAAAUUGUAAAGUCACAGACAAUUACUGUGUAGCACAUCACAUUGAUAUUGUGACAUAGAGCGAGCUGAAUUUAGCUGAGUCCUACAUUCAAAUGCCUAUGUGUUCUGCUUGUUAUUCUUCAGCUUAACAUUUUAUUGCCCUUUUCUGCAGCACCUUUUUUCAGUAAAGAGUUUCAGUUUUUUGAACGUUUCAUACUUUUGGGGAGGGGUGACCUGAUGCAAAUCAACAAGUUGACAACAUCCCUCAGAAAUCCCAUAUUUUGUUGUCGUCAUGCAUGAGCAGGAAUACAAAAGCUUCAUGCCUUUUAACAGACAGACACUAUGACCAAUUUUAAAGACUUUGAAGAAUGAAUAGGAUAGGGAUUUUUCAUAGCUACCUCUUCUUUUGUAUGAUAUUUAAAACAAAUAGUGUUAUUUGUUUUUCAUUUUGUUUAAAGUAUUUUAAGCCGCUUUUGGGAGCCAUGCCCUCACAAAAUGACAUACAAAUGGACAGAUGAGGUGCAACAGAAAAACAGUCACACCAGAACAGCUCUACAGAUUAAUUUGAGAAUCUGCUGUGGAGAUACAAGCUACUUCGAGCAUUAGUUAAAGGGAAGUGUGAAGAGGAAGACCCUCAAGGACCACCUAAAUGCCAGAACUGAAAGUGCAGGCAAAAGUCCGUUAGUAGCAUGACAAAAACUUGCAUGGCACUAUUUGAGAGAAUUCCAACAGUAAAACUCCAACUGAUUUCAUGAAGCAGAACUGGCACCUUUGGUAGUUAAAACAACAAUAAUAUAAUAAUACAUUUAGCUAUUAUUCUAGAAAGUCAGUCAUUGUGAACAGAAAUGCGUGUGUUUGUACAAUGAGCAGUUUCUCAUUUAAACAUAAUGGCCCAUGAGUCCUCUGAAUUGCAACAAUGACCUUACACUAUUUUGUUCAGUCUCUGGAAAUAAUUUUUGUGACACAUAAUCCAUCCUAUCGAAUUCACAGCCCUAUUAAAAUUCUAAGUAAUUCAGACGUCAAAGUAUUAGUCCUUUAUAAUAAAAAGUGGCAUGUUUUUGACUCUUCUAUGCCAUAUUUUAAAAACAUCUCUUAAGGUUGAAAAUCUUUCCUGUAUAUUUUCUAAUAUUGUUAUAACAUUACCAUUUGUCUCUGUUCUUUUUAAUAGCUACAUUCCAUAACCAAAACUAUCUUUGCUUUGCUCUCAGUAAAAGGAUGUUUGAAAUUCUUGUUCUUGUAACAUGUAAAAGAGUUUAAACAAUGAGGAAAUUUACUAAUGUAAUAUGAAAUGUAUCACAGCUACUCUGAUUCUGGUACAGUUCAUUUGGAAUUUAAGGAAUGUAUGUCAUACAUCUUCAAUUAUCUCUGCUUAUCUCCAUGUAUUUUACUCUUUAAUGUUAUUUUAUUGUAUUUUUAUUUGUGUUUAAUGAAUUCAUUAUUAACCAAAACUAAAGAGAAUUUUUAAAAAUGAAAUAUAUCAAAAACACUACCUGGAACUACAAGAAAAUCCGAUGAUCCUAGCUUUUGUGGAAGCUGCCUUAAUAAUUAAUGAACAGGUUUAACUGUUGUUAAAUACAGAGCAUGAGUUUCCAGGUUUCAGCAAGCAAUCCUUCCUUCAAUGUUAAAUCUAACAGUGGCACCUUAACGACAAACAUGAAAUUCCACUAUUACCCAGUGGAAAAUUCUUGUUCUUUAUUUUAGAAUCCCACUGGAUGUGUUCAGAACUCCUAUACCAGUUGUGCUAAACUCAUUCCUUUUAUUUCUCAAAAAGAAUUCUGAUACAUGUGAGCCAACUGUGCAAUUAGCUACAUGUUUCUUCACCUAGGGCAAGCAGAAAUUGCCCUGAGUGAGUAGCAAAUGUCAACAGCUCUUACGGUAGUAUUUUCUUUUGGUUCAUAAAGGCAGUUGGAGCGGUAUCAUAGGUGUCUCUACCCAACCAGGAGAAGUUGUACACAAAGCCCUAUUUGGGUGUUUCUGCCAACACAUGAGUGGGAAACAUAAUGAUGCUGAGUGCCUGUCCAAAGAAUACGAAUGUCUGAAGAGGGGAGCCUUCACACAUGCAGGCUCCCACACAAUCUGGAAGGAUAAGCAAUCAGAGUUCCACAAUGGGUGGGAACCCCUACACAUUAAGAAUUCCUCCUCCCUUCAAAUACAGUGGUACCUCUGGUUAUGUACUCAAUUCGUUCCGGAGGUCCGUUCUUAACCUGAAACUGUUCUUAGCCUGAAGCACCACUUUAGCUAAUGGGGCCUCCUGCUGCUGCCGCAUUGCCGGAGCACAAUUUCUGUUCUCAUCCUGAAGCAAAGUUCUUAACCCAAGGUACUAUUUCUGGGUUAGCGGAGUCUGUAACCUGAAACAUAUGUAACCUGAAGCAUAUGUAACCCGAGGUUGCACUGUAUUUCCAUUCUACAUAUGGGACAUGGGGAGAAGGGCUACUCAGUAUAAUCCAAUUUCCUGCUUGCAUGUUGAUGUUUACCAGGAGUAGGAUGCCCCUAGAUAGAGCUGUUGCUACUAUUGUGUUGUGAAAUACAAGAAUAUUGCACAGGGGAAAAAACGUAGUGUUGAUUGGGAGACUUGCAUCAUAAAAUUCAAAGAAGUGAAACUUUCAAAGGAUAACUUUGAAAGUUUUCCUCGCCGUAUUAUUUCAGGAAGGGUGACAAGCAGGCUUGCAGUGAUAUGUGAACCAAGCCAAAUUUCUCCCCCACCCUUAGUUGUAAUCCACUUCUGCUGUUUCAUCAAAAGAACCUUGGGCAUUUUAGGCUGAUUAAGAGAGCUUAUAUAUUUAUGUUAAGUGAUCGCUGGGACCUUUACAGGACCACAGUCAUCAAGAUUUAAGUGUGAUGUGGAAUUGCCCUGAGUAUUCCACACACUGCGUUCAAACUUCUCUUCCUCUUGGCCAUGCCCUCUGUCUUUCUCUCUCCCCAAUUCUCUAGACGCCUUGGGGAAAUUCCCUAGACAUAUCAGAAUUCCACCCAGAAACCAUAAGACCUCAGGAACACAACAUUCAAAUUAAUCCCCUACCAGUGAAAAGGACACAUGGCAUUGAAAGCCGAAAGUCAGGCCAAAAACCUAAUCAGGUAGUGAUAUGGAAGUUGUCUACUUCAAGUAUGAACUGGUAAGAAAGGAAAUUGAUAUAUUAUUUAAAAAUGGAAUACUCCAUCCCUCAUCAUAUAAGGAACCUUGGCAGCUGUGACCAUUUCUGAUUAAGGCAGCGAGUUUUUGCAUCUCCUUCUUUGCCUGAAGAAUAAAUACCUAAAAGUGGUGAAGACAUAUUACUUGUAUUAAUACAAUAGUAAUAUUAAUACAUAUUACUGGUUGCAGAUGUAGGUUAGUAUUGACAUUAUGGUUUAUAAAUGCAUGUUGGCUAGCCAUAUUACACCACAACUGUGCCCCAUUUCCACAUGUAAAGCACAGCACCUCCUAACACAUCCCCAUAAUCAAGUACCCUGUCGUAACAAUGGAAUGGCAAAGCUUAGUACCAAGCAAUCUCUGCUGAUUAAUCAUCCUGCUUUACCCAAAUCUUUACCUAUUUUCUGUUUGUCCAAAAUUGCAUAGGUUUGGUUGUAGAAAACUGCAGAAACUUGAUUUUUAAAAGUUUGUAUAAUUUAAUAAAGUCAUAGAUAGAUAGAUAGAUAGAUAGAUGAUAGAUAGAUAGAUAGAUAGAUGAUAGAUGAAAGAAAGAAAGAAAGAUAUAGACUAGUUCAUUGUUCAUUUCAACUGCUGGCUGGAAGUACAUGAUCUACAUUUUGAGCCAGACUUUAAUGAAGGUUAAAUAAAAAAUUUAAAAGCCUUGCAUUACAGCUUCAGCUGGUUUUAGUUACUUAGAAACUCAUAAUUCCAUUAGUUCUCUGGUCAUGCCCCAGACUGAAAUACUUUCUAAUGGAAAGAAGACAGAUUAAAUCUUUUUUGUUGGGAGAAGGUAUGGAUUGAGAUGAAUGACACAGUUUUGGGCUGUUUAUAUAACAAGGCAUAUUCAAGAGUUUAUAUUCAGGUCAACUCUGAUCACGACACAAUAGACUUCUAACAGAAUGGAAAUUCUAGCAGAAGUACACACAUUCUUAUUAGGACAUAUUAUAUUAGGGCAUUAAGAAUAUGCAUUAAAACUCUCUCUCUCUCUCUCUCUCUCUCUGUGUGUGUGUGUGUGAGAGAGAGAGAGAGAGAGAGAGAGAGAGAGAAAGAGAGAGAGAGAGAGACCACUGUUUUAAAUCUCCUGAUUCUUCAAAUUCAUUUUGAAUUUCCUUCAUUGUAAUAGAAUUCCCAUUUAUCUGCACCCAUAGAUUUUUGCAUGCAGUGGCAGAGCUGCCAUUUUUAACCUUCUGCUUUCAUAACAAUAGGACUUUUAUGGAACUUGCUUAGGAAAUUGUCCCGUGCCUAGAAAACAUGGGUCCAAGUAGUUUUCUAUUUGCCCCACCAAUUUCACCAGGAAAUUAGUGCUGAAUUAGUGCUGAAUCGGAGCAAACAUAAAUCCACAGAAAACCCCUGAUGUUUGCUCUGAUUUAGUGCUAAAAAGCAGGUUUUCCCAGGGCAAACAGAAGUCUGGUGCUACUACAUCUGGGGCUGUUUUUUGCAGCAGUCUGACUCUUCCCAUAUCUGCUACAGUAGAUGUGCUGGGUAGGCCUCCUAAUAAUAGAUGGAGUGAGAGUCUUCUUAGUAGGGGUGAAUUUCAAGCAGGCCAAUCAGUUAUAUCAUUUUUUUUCAUUUUAGAGAUGCAUAGGAGGGGGGCCUUUUUUGGCACAGCUAUAGUUCUGGAUUAGGAUUGGCCGAAUGGUGCAGAGAACAUUGACAGGAAUGCCUCUGUAAAUCAAGGAAGUGGGACAAGAAAGAGUGUGAUUUUGAGGAGGAAAUUAAAAACUGCUUGACAUUUUCAGUGGGAGGACUGUGCCCCAGUAGCCCUAAUCUCCCCUAUUUGUAUUUUUGGGAUGUUGCCUUGGCUACUCAGAAACAAUAAAGUACAUGUGAACUAUUCAUCUAACUAAAUGCAACUAAUAUCCUCCAUUAAAAUGUGACAAAAUUUCUGUAGGCACGCAGAAACAGGAAGGCUAUUAUCUGUGCAACACAAACUUUGUAGUGGGAGACCUUGGCCAUUGCAUCCCAAGCUCUACCGGGGGAGGAAAGUCUCAGGAACUUUACUAAAGGUGAUGCGGGUGGGAGGUUCUAAUAAUGUCCCAUCACUAGAGAAUCAUUAUGGAGACUCUGCUGGGUGUUACACCUUUGCAAACAACGCAAGAAGAGUUCUGCUGGCUAAAAAGAAAGGCCAGUCUUGUCAAGCAGCCUGGUCCCACAGUAGCCACCCAGAUGUCUAUGAGAAAACUGUAAACAGGACCUGUAAGGAUUUGAGGGAGGCAAGCUUGAAUUACCUACAACAGCUCAACAGGUCGCCAUGAUGUUGUAAUUCAACAUCCGAAUGGCCACAGAACCACCAUAUGGUGCAGAUCAGGCUCAGGCAUAGUAACUCAGAACCACCAUACGUACAAGCUUCUUAAUUUAACUAGAAUGUGUGUAUUCCACAAUCCAUGCCUAAUACCUUAUCACCACAACAGGUAUCGCCUUAACAUAGGAAAGGCAGCCUUUAAAGAUGAGCUACAGAGCUAGGACUCAGCGGCUGACAGUGGGGAGUAAGUUGCCAAUGAGCUAAACAUACUCUUUUAUGUACUCCAGGCAAUCACGUUGAUCUAGAACUAACCAAGACCCCACCAGUGUUUGAUGAAUGGAACAACAACAACAAGCAAGCAACCCUGCUGCCAGAACAUCCAAAUGUAGCAAAAAGGCGUAGAGCAGACAUGACUAAGCAUCAUUUUCAAAUGCAUUUUAAGUUUACCAGGGUGAUCUUGGUGAGGAGAAGAUGGUCACUGGGAAAUAGAGUGGAAUAACCCUUUUAAUAAAGUGAAACGACCCAAUUAUAAUCUCUCUUUUGUCAUGAUGAGUGUGCGCCCGACGUGUCAUUACAAUGAAACAAAACUGCACAGGAUUCUACAGUUACUUUGAACACAAUAGUAAAUGUCAGAUGCAAAUGUGCACAGUUGACAUGGUUUGUUUGCCUAAAAUCAGCAUGCAAUUUGGCAAACAUGUAGGCUUUGGGGGAAUCUGUGGAAAGAGAACAGAAAGCUUUCUAGGCAAGACAAAAAUUAUGUUGUCUGUUUCACAAAAAUUAUCUUGUCUCAUUUUUUAAGACACAGUCUUUAGAAACUAUGGGGGGUACAUAAUAAAAGAGAAGGC